rnacentral:tRNA from 1 species
GCCUUCGUGGUGUAGUGGUCAACACACUCGACGGUAUUCGAGAGGUCCGUGGUUCGAGUCCCGGCGAGGGCA